GGCUGGUUAGCUCAGUGGGUUGAGCGCGGUAAUGACAACACCAAGGUCGCGGGUUUGAUUCCCGCUCGGUCC
rnacentral:tRNA from 1 species